UCGAGACAAGACUUUUGAGGAAGAAGCUCAGCCACUAGUGGACUUGCGGAUUUGUUUUGACAUUGGCGGUUUUUGGAUAGCUCGGUUCUCCUGCCGACGUGUCGUGGAGAUAGAUGAAGACGCGGGAGAGUAAUCCGUCACCCACGACGCGGCCUCUCAUUCUGCGUACUGAACGAUGCAAGAAGCCGAGGAGGGGGACGCUUCGCAAACUCAAACGAUCGAUCGAGUUCCUGAAAAACGGAAAGGGCGAUCUCCAUCACUAACGCCACUGGAUUCGACUCCCGCGAAGAGGUCGUUCAGUGCCCCUCUUCACGGUCGACGAAUCGUUCAUCUCAGGUAUCUGGCUGUGGGAUUGUCUGCGUGCCAGAAUCCUGGAUGUGGCAAACCUCUGGCGCUCAUUGAUUGCGUUGAAGAGAAGAGGUACGACCUGGGCAGCGACUUGUCAUUCCGUGUCCGCAGCAGUGUGGGAUGGAGAAUUUUAUAGAUACAGAUAGCCCUGUAACUGCUCAACACCCUGGCCCCCGUGCUUCCACAAGCAACACCAAAGCUGCUUUGGGUAAGUGCGUUUUUCAAUGUCAUAAGAUUUAUUCAUGAUAUUUGCGAGUCAUUGCCACUCUAUGGCUAUGGAAAUGUUUGAGCACACUGUAUGCGCGGCGGCCGCGAGCGUCUGUGUGUUUGCAUAGACCUGCAUGUUUGUGCAUGUGUGCACCAUACGCAUGUAUGAACAUGCACAUGCAUAUGCGCUCAUGUGGACGUGCCCUCGCACACAUCCUAUACACACGUGCAUGACCGCUCCCAGGGCAUGUUGGUGUGACAUGUGUAUGCGGGCAUCUCCACUCAUGCACAUGAGUGUGCACAUGGAUGUGGGUGGGUACGCACACGUGCGUGAAUGUAUGUGUGUGUGUACGCGCGUGUGUUCUAUUGCGUGUGAGAGCAUGCAUGUGUGUGUGCGUGUGUGUGUGUGUGUGUGUGUAUGUGUGCACGGAUGUGUGUGUCGAUGGUGUGAAUUUUGUGAUUGGUGAACACUCUGAUCCCUAAAUCGCGAUACCGGAGCUCCCAAGCUACAGCCUCAGAUUGAUUUAUAGUUCAUCGUUGGGAAUGAGUUCGCUGCUCAUGAUGCUGUUGCGGAUGUUGCGGCCCUAGCUGAAAUUGUCGAAGCUCGCCCUGAUGCCAGUAUCCUGUAGCACUCUGUCACUUUUGCGUCAGCAUGUUCGGCGAUGGAGUUUGCAGAACAUCAGCAAAAGCGGCUGGCCACCCUUCAACCGUUGGUCCAAGCAACGUGCUUCUCUAAAUCAGUUGCAGUGCGGGCAGCUGCCAGUGGGUUGGUGAUGAAGCACUUUGUCUUGUCCUACAAACGAAGUGGUGAGCCAGCCAUUUCCAGACUGAUGAAGGAGCAAGUCGGAGGUAAGAAGCGGGUGACAGUCUCAAGGAAGAUUAUAUUAGUGGUGGCUGAACACCUAGCGAAGAACCAGCAGCAACCCAACUGAAAUGACUACCUGGAUCCCAUCGUCAACCAAAGUGUACAUUUUUCGGUGUUGAUAUCAUCUUAGUCAAUACCUCGAACAGACUGUAAAAUUUUAUGUCAUAUUUUCUCUCCUAACUGAUGUUAUGGACGAUUUCUCAUCAAUUUUGGGAUUUUGUGUAUUUUGUGUCAUCAAGGAAAAUUGUGUUUUUGGCAGGACCUAUUCGGGCAAUUGAAAAACUGAUGCUACUAAGCGAAAAUAUAA